rnacentral:rRNA from 1 species
CUGAAAGGAGAGAGUGCCUACGCAAGAGGAGCCUGGAGACAGGUGCUGCAUGGCUGUCGUCAGCUCGUGUCGUGAGAUGUUCGGGUUAAGUCCCGCAACGAGCGCAACCCCUAUCUUUAGUUGCCAUCAUUGAGUUGGGCACUCUAAAGAGACUGCCGGUGUCAAACCGGAGGAAGGUGGGGAUGACGUCAAGUCCUCAUGGCCUUUAUGACCAGGGCUACACACGUACUACAAUGGCCGGUACAAAGGGCAGCGACACAGCGAUGUGAAGCCAAUCCCGAAAAGCCGGUCUCAGUCCGGAUUGGAGUCUGCAACUCGACUCCAUGAAGUUGGAAUCGCUAGUAAUCGCGGAUCAGCACGCCGCGGUCGAAUACGUUCCCGGGCCUU